AACUGUUCGUAACAGAUGCGUCUGGGUACAUAAUAUAAAACACAAAGUUUGCUUUGAGGGAUUUUUCUUUAAAUAUUAUAAAUACAAAAUAUACCCGUAAUUAUAUAUUGUGUGAAUGCAUUACAACAGGAAGGAAGCUUCACACUGCAGGCGGUAGAUCAUACUAUUGUAACUGGUGAAAUUUAAGAAAGAAAAAUCAUAUAAAACGGAGCAGAAUCCAGUAGAUUGUUCGACUUUUCAGUCUGAAUUUGUGAAAGUGAUGGUAUUCCACUAUGGAGUGUACAAAAUGUGGUGAACCUGUUGAGGAGGCUGUCAACUUUUGCGGAAAGUGUGGUGCACCUGUCAUCCAGGAAAACAACAAGAAUGGAUGAUGGCUAUUAUCCUGGGCCUUUCUGUCAAAAAAUAGAUGUGAAAAAUAUUCAUUUAAUUAAACCUGGAUAUCGACCAUCACAGCUAACAGAAAACUUUUUUACAAUAGGUGUUGUUUUAGAAUUUGUAAAAUUUUAUUAUAAACAGAAGUCGAUGUAUAUCAUGUCUAAAUGACCAAAUGUCACUGUUUAACAAUUUGAAUUGAGAUGCUUUAUUUUCUGACGUUGGAUUUAUUUUUCCUUUCAGAUGAUGUAUAUUUGUGUGAUUCAAGGUUGUAAUAAAUAAUUCUGAAACAUUUAUGCAGCAUACUGUAACAUCAUUGUUAACGUUAUUAUAUAAUGUUGGUUAUCUGGUUUAUC